rnacentral:rRNA from 1 species
AUGUUACUCAAUGAUAGAAUCAAUACCUGUGAACUGCUUACUAGACAAAAAGUUCACCUGGAGAGUACGAUAUGUGUCCUAUGCAAUGAUCAUAAUAUGGAAGAUAGAAUGCAUCUACUCUUCAGCUGCCCUUUUAGCCAAGGCUUCUGGUGGAGCAUAAACAUGGAAUGGAACAUUGACCUAAAUAUUAAUAUGAUGAUCAUGGAGGCUAGACAAAGAUACAAGUGGGACUUCUUUAUGGAAAUUAUUACUAUUGGAUGCUGGUCUAUCUGGAACCAAAGAAAUGACAAGGUGUUUGAAGACAUUCAGUUCUCAAUCCAAGCAUGCACAGAUAAUUUCAAAAAAUACUUCAGAGACACUAUAAUCAGGGCUAAACCCAGCAUCAAGGAAGGCAUGCUCUCCUGGCUAGAUUCUGUGUAA